UUGGACAAACAUCAGAGCAUAAGGAAACACGGGGCUGGACAACACACAAUAUCAGCUAAAAACAAAUGCGUUAUCAUAUAGUUAUCAUAUACCGAUGCUCUCUGAGCCGCCCCAGUCUGCUGUGAGCCUCUGAGCGCUGCUGGGACUGAAGGAAGUGUUUGGAUUGCCCAGCCGAGCAAAGCUCACCAGCUCUGAUCUGGAUUCAUCGGGUGUUCCCAUCACAAAGUAAUUGUGACGGAUGUGUGGCACCUCAUCCAGAAGUGAGGAGAGACUGUGGCAAAGAGCAACUAUCUGCCCUCGGACACAAUACUCUGACAUACGCUUGUUAAAUCUGAAAGAGACACAUAAUCAUAGCUGAUGCAGAGAACACCAUAAUAUAAAAUGUAAGGCCAUUUCCUCCUUUAAUUGAAAAUAAAGAGAGAGAAACACUGUUUACUGACUAAACAUACUUGUGACAGAACUCCAAAAUCAGUUUCCUCUUGAUCCUGCCCACUUCUUCCUAUUGAGAGAAGGACAGAUGGAUGGAUGAUGGAUGAAAACUAAGGUGCAUUUCCAUUUAUUUUGCAAAUAAAAUCAUGCUCACAUACAGAGUUUAA